AAGUUAGAUACAGGUAAUGGAUAUAAAGAUUACAUUAUUUUCAUUGAUGCAUUCUUUUGAAAAUAUAUUCAGGAAAGUCAGAAUUCCAGUUCAGAUGAAGAGCAGGUGGAGGAAGCAGCAGCUGGACCGUCAGGGCUUCAGCUGGAUCUCCAACCUCUCUUUUGAUUGUGUCUCCUGAACAAAGGACUAAAUCCUGAAGAUGGGCGUGUGAAACAAAACCUCACCCACUUCAGCAGGAUGAGACUUCAUGUGGGGUCUUUGUACUGAAGGUCUGUAUCACAGCAUGAUUAAAGAACAAUGUGAGGAUUUGACUGAAAGACAUUUUGAAUCUCCAGCAGCAAGACAAACAAAUUGAAUAUGUUAAACCCCCAAAUUGUCCAUCUUCCACCUCCACCUCCUCCUCUGGGCCAUCCACAGGUCAUUGGGCUCCUCGAGCUCCGAUGCCUCUGUAAACACUGCAGUGGACUCUCCCAUCAUCAAGAGUAAGUUUGAUCAUUUGUUAAAGAGAAUUAAUGAUAUAUUUUAAACAUUUUGAAAAGUACUGCUAAAUGUUAAACAUCAAAACACACUUUGUGGUGCCUUGUCCUGUUUUAGUUGGGCUUUUUAAAAUAUAUUAUGCACAUUUUAAGCUAAAAACUGUAAAUUAUGUCACAGACAUGUGUUGUCCGAGGUCUCAAGAAUCACUGAUACUGACACACAAUUUUAUUUUCUCCAGCCUCACCAACAUCAUGCUGCACAGCGGCCUACAUCCGCAAACAAAUUGUAAACGACUAUUGAAGCUACUCUGUUUAAUUGGAUCCUCCACUAUAAAACAGAUGGCAUUCAAUCCCCAUCAUAUGACGGCUUCCCAAAAGACAAACUUUAACAGUCUCAAAACAUUGAUGUGCAGGUGA
rnacentral:lncRNA from 1 species